ensembl:misc_RNA 7SK 7SK RNA
GGCUGUGAGGGUCAUAUGGCUACAGUCUCACCCCAGUGUUGAUUUGGCUGGCUAGGUGGGUGUCCCCUUCCUUCCUCAGUGCUUUGUGUGUACCCCUCCUGAAGCUGGGCACUUGGUUGAAGAGGAGGACCAACAGAGGAGGACCCUUUCCUCCAGCAAGUGUAUAUGAGUAGCUGUGCUCCCUGGCUAGAAAUCCAAAUAAGUUCUCAAGAAAAGAUUAGAAUGAGGAAGAAGAAAAGGUGAAAAUGAGAUAGAAGAUU